rfam:Streptomyces violaceusniger Tu 4113, complete genome.
CUUGACCGAGCCGACCAGCAGCGGCGGGUUGCCGCCCCGGUCCUGGCCGUAGGUGGCCAUCAGCGCGUGCACUUC